CCAGUUGACCGGGUGACCGCUGGCGGGUGGGUAACUGCCCGCUGGAGGAAAGUCCGGGCUCCAUCGAAACACGGUGACGGCUAACAGCCGCCGGGGGCGACCCCAGGGAAAGUGCCACAGAAAGCAAACCGCCGCCUUCGGGACGGCAAGGGUGAAAGGGUGCGGUAAGAGCGCACCGGGUGCCUGGCAACAGGGAUCGCACGGCAAACCCCACCGGGAGCAAGACCAAAUAGGGAUGACGCGGGGGCAACCUCAGCCUGUUUCGAGGCCAUGUCGUCCGGGUUGGUUGCACGAGCGCGCUGGUAACAGCCGCCACAGAUGAAUGGUCACCACGUCGUGGAAACACGGCCCUACAGAACCCGGCUUACAGGUCAACUGGCGUU
rnacentral:RNase_P_RNA from 1 species